rnacentral:snRNA from 13 species
AGCUUUGUGCAGUGGCAGUAUCGUAGCCAAUGAGGUUUAUCCGAGGCGCGAUUAUUGCUAAUUGAAAACAAAGCUACAGUGUUC